rnacentral:lncRNA from 1 species
GACAGACGGGGAUAGAGACGUUAGCCAAAGCAGGCUUCCCGAUUAAAAAAAAAUCUCAUUUUCCCCCCAGGGCUGCCAAAUUUAGCAAAGUGCCAUUCCAGCUGCAGUGCUUCCAAGCCGCCUCAGAUCAUCGUAACUUCACAUUCCCCGGGGAACACUCAAGGAAAUGACCUUCUCGCACCUAUUUCCUAUGCAGUCUGAUCACUCAAACUUGGCCAGGGAGGCCUGGCCUCCAGUGUUUGGCAUCUGAGACUCAGGACCCCUUAAGAUAAGCUGAUGACAUCUUGCUCCCAGGAUCCCUCACCAUGAGAAAAGGGAGCCACAAAUAGGAGUUAGAGAUAUAAAAAGAAGGGAAAGAAAAAUUACUGGAAAAAGCUGGAUUUGUUCAAAGCGGAAACUGUGCCCUGGCUCCCUUCAUGUCCUCCAUAGCCAUCGUGCUGACAUUCUCCUGCCACAUCCUCCAGAGAUGCAAGCUCAUCGCACCCGUGUUCUUAGAGUCCUGCGAUGAAGUUACUUUGUUAGAAGAUAGAGAUAUUUGUGAAACGGGAAGCCACAAGGAGUUAAUGGAGGAGAGAGGGCUUUAUGCAGAACUGAUUCACAACCUGUGA